rnacentral:lncRNA from 13 species
AUGUGGCAUCUGGUCCUCUGUUGUCAUCUGCUGGGAUGUACAUACUUUGGUCUUUCUGGUCCUCAGUCAUUUAUCCUUUAUUCAGAAUGCAAGAGUAAACAUGGACAAAAAAUGCAGAAGCCAUAUGCUAAUAAUGAUGGAACAAGAAGGCAAGAGGAACCUGGGGCACUUGGACUUCAAGUAGCUGUCAAACCACUUCUAAACUGCAUCUCUCUUCCUGACCUCUUGUUUUUUGAAAAAAAUAAGCUGACCAAAUUUCAGUGGUUUAUUUUCCACACGCUCCUCCCCCAGCUCUUAGAAGCACUUUUCUUGCAAGGACAGAAAGGGGAGAUUUUGAAAGCUGAUGGACACAAAAACGAGCUUCGUGAGGAUUUAAGGAGCCCAUCAGUACAAGAGGUGAGGUGGUGGCUGGCAGAGGAG